rnacentral:rRNA from 1 species
CCUACGGGAGGCAGCAGUGAGGAAUAUUGGUCAAUGGACGAGAGUCUGAACCAGCCAAGUAGCGUGAAGGAUGACUGCCCUAUGGGUUGUAAACUUCUUUUAUAAAGGAAUAAAACGAGGCACGUGUGCCUUUUUGCAUGUACUUUAUGAAUAAGGAUCGGCUAACUCCGUGCCAGCAGCCGCGGUAAUACGGAGGAUCCGAGCGUUAUCCGGAUUUAUUGGGUUUAAAGGGAGCGUAGAUGGGUUGUUAAGUCAGUUGUGAAAGUUUGCGGCUCAACCGUAAAAUUGCAAUUGAUACUGGCAGUCGUGAGGACAGUUGAGGUAGGCGGAAUUCGUGGUGUAGCGGUGAAAUGCUUAGAUAUCACGAAGAACCCCGAUUGCGAAGGCAGCUUACUAAACUGUGACUGACAUUGAUGCUCGAAAGUGUGGGUAUCAAACAGGAUUAGAUACCCCUGUAGUC